UUAUUUAUAUUAAGUAAUUCUAUACUGUUAUAGAAUCUAUAAUGUUAAAACUAGUAACAAGAAGAUGACCUUCUCUUAAAUGUAAGCAUAAGUCAGCAAGGACCCACCACUGACAAUUAACAUCCAUGAGAUUAUAUUAGCAACUCCUCAAAGAAAACCCUAGUAAAUUUUAUGUUAACCUAACACAAGAGCAUUAAAAGAAAGAUUGAAAAAAAAGGAAGGAACUCGGCAAAUAAUAACCCCGCCUGUUUACCAAAAACAUCGCCUCUUGAAUCAUUAUAAGAGGUCCAGCCUGCCCAGUGAUUUAUUCAACGGCCGCGGUAUCUUGACCGCGCGAAGGUAGCAUAAUCAAUUGUUCUUUAAAUGGGGACUUGUAUGAAUGGCACCACGAAGGUUGUACUGUCUCCUUUUUUUAAUCAGUGAAACUAAUCUCCCCGUGAAGAAGCGGGGAUAACAAUAUAAGACGAGAAGACCCUAUGGAGCUUCAAACUAAAUAACAAGUAUUAUCCAUGCUUAAACCCUUUCAGAAUGAAAACCCUCAUUUUUAUACCAUGACUAGCAGUUUUGGGUUGGGGCGACCGCGGAGUAAAAACCAACCUCCACAAUGAAAGAAUUAAACCUCUGAACCAAAAGCCACGACUUUAAGUACCAAUAAAUUGACAUUCCUUGACCCAAUAUUUUGAUCAAUGAACCAAGUUACCCUAGGGAUAACAGCGCAAUCUGCUUCAAGAGUCCUUAUCAAAAAGUUAGGCUUACGACCUCGAUGUUGGAUCAGGGUAUCCUAGUGGUGCAGCCGCUACUG
rnacentral:rRNA from 1 species